GACUGUUCCGGUGGCCUAGUGGUUAUAGCCUGCGCCUCAGGUGCGGGAGGUCGCAGGUUCGAACCCUGACCAAGUCA